ACAGAUCCUUGAGGUAAACUCCACAUGAAUACAUCAUGAGACUAAAUCUCCUUUCAUAUGAUUCAAAACAUGUUAUGAUGGUGGGAGUGAAUCGGGUUAUUAGAAUAAUGGUUUGCUAAUUAAUUUACAUCAUGUUUAGUCUCAAGACACAUGGGUACGCCGGCUCCUAUUGCUUAACAAAUGUAUAUCUGCAGAUUUUUUUAAUCGUAUAAAGAAGUUACAAUUAGGUGUUGACCUUUUUUUUUGCCUAGACACAGCACCUCCAACAAGAUCUGGGCACUAAUUAAUUUACAUCAUGUUUAGUCUCAAGACACAUGGGUACGCCGACUCCUAUUGCUUAACAAAUGUAUAUCUCCAGAUUUUUUUAAUCGUAUAAAGAAGUUACAGUUAGGUGUUGACCUUUUUUUUGCCUAGACACAUCACCUCCAACAAGAUCUGGGCACUCAUAAUGAGAUAUAUAUAUGUGCAUGCUUUUUGUUUUUGCUGUGCCUUUUUUCGAUUUAUCUUUGAUGCGCAUUUUUAGUUUUAAUUGUUGUUUACCUUCAGCCGACCUAAUUGAGCUAUCGGAGGUGAUGCGGUCUUUUGGCAAACAUGCCCUAUAUUCUAUGGUUUGGCAUCUACAGGAUGCCAUCUCUGGUCAUGUAUCCACUGUGGCUGCUUCAUCCUUCACUUAGGACCUUCUCACCCCCACAGAGAUCAGAGGUAACCCACGCAGUUGGAAAUUGUUGCUCAGGUUCUUGCUUCAACAAAUUUUGUUCCGGAUAUAAUUUAUGGCCAUGCCAUGUAUUAAUUAUCCUUAUAAUUUUCAUCUGAAUUUGCAGAGAAAAAUAUGUUUUGGAAGCAGGAACCCUUACCUCAUAAGAUGGGUGAGCUGUAGGAUUUGGUUCUGUUGAACUUGAAUUAGUUUUUGCUCAUCAUGUUCUCUGUAUUAGGAAUUCAGGUGCCUUCCAACUCUAAUUUUUUCGUAUUGUUGGUGCAUGCUGGGAGUCACAUUGUUAUGCAUGCUAGCAAACAUUAGGAUUGGAAGUCUUACCCUGUAGGUUAUUAAUAUCUUUUCCACUAACCGAGAUUCAGCAAUUUAAUUCGUAUGGUCGCACAAGCAGUUUUGUUUUCGAAUUUAUCUUGACAAACGUAUUGGGUACAUCAAUUUAAUUCAUAUUAAGGUCACACAAGCAGUUAGUUCCAUUACACUUGGGUCACCGACGGUUGCCGUGCAACUAUGCUCCUCUCAUGUUGUAGUGGCUAGCUGCUGCAAUUCACGGAUCAUGCUCUCAUGGGAAGGAGGCUGUGGCUUUCUCAAUUGAUCAGAACAACAGGACCCCACAUAGUUCUUUUCUAGAUAUAUAUUGUUAUUUAUGAUGUUGUGUGGACCAUCAGAAACCUGAUGUGUGUGUGUAUCAUAGAAUAUCUUGCUAUUUAUGUAUAUUGCUUACCUUUCAUUCCUGUACCACUUCUCUAAAUAUAAGCCACUUCUUUUCUAUUGUUAGCGCUAUCUUUUGAUGUUAAUGCACUAAAAAUCUAAAGCCUUUCCCUCUGCAAAAUGUUGAUAUUAGAGCGUUUUUUGUGGGAAAAUGAUGAUAUUAAAGCUAUGCGUCUUAUAAUCCGUACUGUACAUGACAAUGCGUAUUCAGUUAUAUUAUGUUUGUAGCAUGGCAUUUUUCCAUUCCUUUUUUUCCCGAUGAAUCACAUGGUAAAUUUUGAUGUACAAUGACUGCUCUUGCAAAAAAUGUGGAAUUCAGAGAGGGACUCUACAACAAGCAAGGUUUUAGGUUCUGAAUCUAAAUAACCUCUUCUUCGGUUCAGUCCUAGAAAAAGCUGAUCAGAGAAACAAAGAAGCAACAAUGAAUGGGUCCCUUUCUUGACCACACAAGAGUUGUCCGUGUGCAAGUCAUGAACCGUUUGUCCAUCAAUACAAGUGCAGGAUUUGAACAUGUUAAUUCUGACCUUCUGUUGGGAGUUUAUAUUAUACCUUUCAUGCGAAGUAGUUACAUUUAUCACAUGGAAGACAAUGCCCAUGGAGUGGAAGGUGGAGAGAUUCAGACUUCGGAGUAUGUUAAUGUGCUCAUAAAAUUUCAAUUAAACUUGUAGAAAUCUUCCAUGUAGCUGUGAUUGUUCUCUCCAGACAUGGAGGAUCAGUUCUUGGACAAAUUUAUUUGUCUGUUGUAUGACUUGCCACCACUUUUUUCCAAAAUUCCUAUUCACAUGUUAUCAGACCAUAAAGAUCAAUUUCUUAAAACUUUAGUAGAAUUAAUCUGCCUUUAUUUCUGGACUCUAGCAUUUUGUGCUUCUUCACAAGUUCCUAGUUGUUAUUUGGCGAUUAAUUUAAUUUGAUCUUCAAUUUUGGGUUCUUGGCACUCGCUCGUGCAGGUUAUGACUAUGCCGUAGGUGACAUGCGGAAAGGUGACCAAAGAGUACAUGAAGAAUUCUUGCUAUCAACUAGGGCUGGAUGCCCCCAGGAAGAAUGCCGUGAGUCAACUUUAAUGACUAAUAUGUUAAUUUCUUCUAGCUACACAAUAUGAGAUAUUGCUUCUUCAUUAACGCUUACUGCUACGUAGUAAGAUGACAAUGGGAUUUUGUUUCUCGAGUUGGCACUCAGUAGUAGAAGUGGUUUAUACUUCGAAUAGUUGAGCAGAAAACUGGCGUGUCAUGGCUCCUAAUGUUACAGAGCAAGUGGACAGACUCUAUCCCCCCCUCUCUAGACUUUCUUUUCUAGGUUUGGUUGGGUACAAAAGGCUAGAUUCUGGUAUAUAUUCAUUGACGCAGAAGCUAGAAGCUCAUUGAUAUUAUUUUUCUUGCCAAACAUACAAAGGAUUGUGCAUAAAACUUCCAGCUUGAAAUCUACAUCUGGGUUACGAGCUUUCUCCAGAAUUUAAGAACAUCGUUGUGGACAUUUAGAUAUUUUUGUAGUAUUCUUCAGGGUCUUGACUUAAUUUCUUUUCACACAGUAAAAUAUUAAUUAUAUGUUGUACAGUAGUAGUAGUGUGCAUACUAUGUACUCAAGUUUAUUAAAGUCAAAGCAGGAAAGGAGAUCAGAGUUCAGGGCAUGUUCAGCUCCACCCAUGCAUCAAGGGAAAUAUAUACGACGCAAAUGAUAACGUGUUCUGCUAGAUGACAUAGUACAAGGUUCAGCAGCGACGACAUGAUCUCAAACAUGCCACUGGCACCUAUACUAAACUUGAUUUGUUCUCUCAAUAUGGAGUGUUAAUCUUCUCCUCUGCAUAGUACAAAUAUUCCCUUAGCUCUAAGGAUAUAGACAUGGUGAGUUUGGUUGGAGGAAAUAAGAAUGAUUUAUAAAAGUAAUAAAAGGGAGAUAAUGCUGCUUGAUGUGUAUGGGGAUUCUGAAGAUAUAUAUGAUUGAUACUUUCCCUGCAUGAUAUAGAUUAGUCGAGGUUUGAGAAGUUCUCUAUAAAAGAACUAUGUGGGGUUCUAUUAUUGUAUUAUUUCUAACACGUAAAAUAUUUAGGCCCCCGUUGCAUUGCACGGGCAAUCAGGUCAAAUGUGGCAG
rnacentral:lncRNA from 1 species